GCUGAUCUAGUUUAGUCGAUAGAGAACAAGGCUUUUAACCUUGUGGUUGUGUGGGUUCGAGCCCCACGGUCGACG
rnacentral:tRNA from 1 species